rnacentral:misc_RNA from 1 species
CAUCGAUGUAACACGCGCGAGUGUGUGUCCCUCGAAACGACACUCGCCACGCAUACUGCGUUUAAUAAUAAUCGUGCGUAUCGGUACAUUUAAUAUUCUCGAGAUAAUCGCGGGACAAGCGCUUGAAUGGGACGCCGCAGGGACGGCCGCAGCCUCCGAUCACACGCGAUCCGCGACAUAUGGGAUCGCGUCCGUCCCAUCGCGAUGCUUUUUGUCGUUUGAAAACACUGAAUGAACAUCGCUGAUCUGUAACACGGACUACGAUCAGCAAAGUAUAUUGUUUAUAAUUUUAUUAUUCUGCACGCAUAUAAUGAUAAACUGUAGGCACGGAGUUAUCGUUGCCUUUGUUUUGUGUUUAACAGGUUAUCACCAGUUGCACAGCAUAUCGAUGUGGAUGUCAAACAUGGUGCAAAAGUCGGACAACGGAAAUGACGCCGUCGGCGACGGCCUCCGCGUGCAUGCGAGUUCGAUUGGCGACGAGUCGUUCGCCACGACCUUGACGCAUUAGAAGACGACCGUUGCGGGUGCAUCGGACGCAAGCGAAAUGCCGUUGUUCGGACGGAAAAUGGGUGGCGGGGGCAGCGGGGGUUCCGAGCACACCGGUCGUAAUUUGCAGGAUGGCCUGUUCCAAAUCGCAUCGCAGGCCUGUCACAUCCUGGUGCAAGUGAACAAUACGCACAACGUUUCUUACGGGGGUAGCAAUAAUGUGAACAACAUCGCGUAUUCAAAGUAUUCCACGGCCGGCGGCUCCACCGCUCCGACGACGUCGUCAUCGACGAAAAGGGCGACCGCUGCCAAAGCGUAUCCGAAGUACGCGGAGCCUCGGGAUAAGGACCAGGAUGUGCUGGUGUUGUUACCGCAUCGCAAGAACAGAACACCGCGCCUCAAGCACAAAUUGUCGACCGUGUCUGAAAACGCACGGCUGGACGUGAACUCUCCGGGAGGUGACGACGAUCUUGAGUUAUGGGACCAGUCCGGAUUUAUGCUGAGAAGCGACAUGGACGAUCCUCUCACGAAUGCAAAGUACAGGUGGGGCGCUCAGAGUUGGUGCAGACCCAGUUGUAUACCGAUAACGAUCAUACUGAUUUUAAUUGUUCUGGUCGUACUCUUGCCGCUGUUAGAUCAUGCGACGGACAAGCUAAAUGUCACCAUGAUAGAUUCAGAAAUGAUGUGCAUGGAUCAUUGUAGUAUAUCCCUCGUGGAAACUAUACCCGUGGGCUUGAAUUAUAGCAAUAAUACGGCGCGGCACGAAACAAUCUACGAGUCUUGGAUAGAUCUUAUUGAAAUGGCACAAGACACAAUUGAAAUCGCAUCGUUAUAUUGGACAAUGAAAGGGGAAGAUGUAGUUCCCGAUAGCAGUGCUAAGAAUGGGGAAGAAGUGUUCGAGUCGUUGUUAAAAGCCGGAAGAGAUAGACACAUUACGCUAAAAAUUGCACAGAAUCUUCCUUCGCGCUUGUCUCCAAAUGUCGAUACGCAAAUUUUGGCUAAAAAGGCUAAUGCACAGGUGAGAAACUUAAAUUUCGCUGCGUUGUUGAACGGUGGUGUACUCCACACAAAAUUGUGGCUCAUCGAUCGUACUCACGUAUAUGUAGGCUCAGCGAAUAUGGAUUGGAGAUCUCUUUCGCAAGUGAAGGAACUCGGUUUGAUAGUCUUAAAUUGUUCCUGCUUAGCGAACGAUUACGCCAAAAUAUUCGAUGUAUAUUGGAAGUUAAGCGAAGAUGGUAAAGUGCCUUCCACAUGGCCAGAUUCCCUUAGCACAAAAAUAAAUAUAAAUAAUCCUUUGAAUUUUACAUAUAUGGAUAAUAAGUACAAAUUAUUUAUUGCGAGUUCACCUCCGCCAUUUUCACCGAAAGGUAGAAGCAACGACCUAGAUGCGAUUGUGCAUUGUAUUGCUAAGGCGGAAAAGUUUAUUUAUAUCUCUGUGAUGGAUUAUUUCCCAUUAACUAUAUAUACUGCACAAAUAAAAUAUUGGCCUAUAAUAGACAAUGCUCUGAGGGCGGCGGCGAUCGAGCGUAAAGUAGAAGUGCGUCUUUUGAUCUCUUUGUGGAAACAUUCGAGACCGUCCGAAUCAUACUUUCUUAAAUCACUGCAAGACUUGACGCACAGUUAUCCUAACGUUAAAAUCGAAGUGAAAAGGUUUAUUGUACCGACUAAUUCAAUCUUGGACAAAAUACCAUAUGCGAGAGUAAAUCAUAAUAAAUACAUGGUCACCGAUAUAACAGCUUAUAUUGGAACAAGUAAUUGGUCGGGUGAUUACUUUAUUGACACGGCUGGUAUCUGUGAAUGGAUCCAAUCCCCUCCACGAUAGUGCCUUGUCUUGUCUGGGUAACCGCUAUUAAUCGAUUAAAAUAUUCAUCAAACCAGUAUCACGAUACUAGUAACAUUCCACAGAUAUUACUU